UAAAUGCGGAGAUGCCUCGGCUGGGAGCAGUCGGCCACCUCCCUCCGAGCGCUGGACGCUCUGCCGCCGGUCAGCCCUCCGCAACACAGAUUUGCUUAUUCCCAGCUACAGGAGCAAAAAGAUGAGAUGGAGGAAGAAUGUUGUUUUCCUAAGAGCACGUGACAGAAAGCACAUGAACUUCUCCCCAAGCUGAACUUUGACCAUCACAAGAGUGUCCCCAAAAAGCCAUAACUUUGCUGUCAGAUUCAGAUUGCUCCCGGAUGCUUUCCCCUGAGUUUUCAAUGAAUAUCAACUGAGGAAUGAGACAAAAAAAGCAUACUGUUAAUAAACAGGCAAUGGUCCAAGUCCA